rnacentral:misc_RNA from 1 species
GAUGAAGAACGUAGUGAAAUGCGAUAAGUAAUGCGAAUUGCAGAAUUUCCGUGAGUCAUCGAAUCUUUGAACGCACAUUGCGCCCACUGGUAUUCCGGUGGGCAUGCCUGUUCGAGCGUCAUUAUCCUCCCUCAAACCUCGGGUUUGGUGUUGGACCCAAGUUGUGUGAACAACUGGUCUCAAAGACAAUGACGGCGUCCGUGGGACCCUCGGUGCAACGAGCUUUUAAACGAGCACGCGUCGAGUUUCAAGGACCUUCCGGGCCGGUCUCCUUCUUUUUAUUUACAAAGGUUGACCUCGGAUCAGGUAGGAAUACCCGCUGAACUUAAGCAUAUCAAUAAGCGGAGGA